rnacentral:rRNA from 1 species
GAAGCCCACUUGUGGGUGGAUUAGUGGCGAACGGGUGAGUAACACGUGAGUAACCUGCCCUUGACUCUGGGAUAAGCCUGGGAAACUGGGUCUAAUACCGGAUAUGACUGAUCAUCGCAUGGUGGUUGGUGGAAAGCUUUUUGUGGUUUUGGAUGGACUCGCGGCCUAUCAGCUUGUUGGUGAGGUAAUGGCUUACCAAGGCGACGACGGGUAGCCGGCCUGAGAGGGUGACCGGCCACACUGGGACUGAGACACGGCCCAAACUCCUACGGGAGGCAGCAGUGGGGAAUAUUGCACAAUGGGCGCAAGCCUGAUGCAGCGACGCCGCGUGAGGGAUGACGGCCUUCGGGUUGUAAACCUCUUUCAGUAGGGAAGAAGCCUUUCGGGGUGACGGUACCUGCAAAAGAAGCGCCGGCUAACUACGUGCCAGCAGCCGCGGUAAUACGUAGGGCGCAAGCGUUAUCCGGAAUUAUUGGGCGUAAAGAGCUCGUAGGCGGUUUGUCGCGUCUGCCGUGAAAGUCCGGGGCUCAACUCCGGAUCUGCGGUGGGUACGGGCAGACUAGAGUGAUGUAGGGGAGACUGGAAUUCCUGGUGUAGCGGUGAAAUGCGCAGAUAUCAGGAGGAACACCGAUGGCGAAGGCAGGUCUCUGGGCAUUAACUGACGCUGAGGAGCGAAAGCAUGGGGAGCGAACAGGAUUAGAUACCCUGGUAGU